rnacentral:RNase_P_RNA from 1 species
AGCGGGCCGUGCGGUUGCGGGAAACGUUAUGUUUCACGAGGAAAGUCCGGGCUUCACGGCGGCAGGGUGCCGGCUAAUUACCGGUGAAGGCGACUUCAAGGAAAGUGCACAGAAAUAUACCGCAGCGCUUUUGCGCUGUAAGGGUGGAAUGGGGAGGUAAGAGCUCACCGACCGCCCGGUAACGGGCGGUGCCAGGUAAACCCCACCCGAAGCAAGACUGAACCGAAAGUAUCGCCGCCACAAGGCUUUCGGUAUAAGCAUACGUCGCUCGAGCGUUUCGGCAACGACGCGCCAAGAUAGAUAACCGCAUUAAACGACAGAACCCGGCUUACAGGCCCGA